AUUCAGCUGACGAGCCCCGAAUAGGACAAAACGCGCGUCUCGGAU
rfam:Schistosoma mansoni strain Puerto Rico chromosome 4, complete genome